GGACUCAGAAGGACACAGCAGCUUCAGCUGCCUUCACUUCCCUAAGAUCCCAUGCCGCCAGCACGGGAUGGGGAGCCAAUGGGCAAUGACGCAGAGCCAUUGCCAUCCCCACAGUGCCAGCAGCCCUAACCGCAAGCGGUGCUGCCUUCCAGUAGGACACUGUGGACCCUACACUCACUGCUGCACCUCCACCAAUGGAAGAAAAUGUUCCAACCCUAGGUGUGGGUGUGCACCCUGUGGAUGGUUUUAUGGACGGUUUUUCUGGCCAUUUGCAAGAUGACUGUCAGGGUGCAGGAGAAAACUUGUCACUGGCUGCAGUUUCAGCUUCUGCCUCCUCAGGGGCACCUUAACCCAGACUCCCCUAGCACUGUCAACUCAGGCAGUAAAGGUACAUGACAAUGGCAAGGGGUUUUUGGGGGUGGGAAAUGUGAUGUCAUACACUAUUUCACUGUCAAAACCAUGCUAAGUAGGCCACACCUAGAAGUUACUAGUAACUAAUGUGAUACCCUCGCCAAUCUGCAGCUGGCCUCAAGGCACACCCUCUGCAACAUGCACUGCUAGCACCACCACAGAGCCAACUUAUGAAAAUUCAGCACUGACACCAGCCUAGUCAGUUCACCAAGUUCUCUCUGUGCAUUUGAAUCGUUAGUACUUAGCCUCUGUUUUUAUUGUAUACGAUGAAUUUCCCUGUUUCACAGAACUAAUGGAAUAUAAUUGGACUUACUGGACUAAAGUUAAGUAAACCAGAGUUACAUAUGUAU